GUCUGCAGCCACACACCCUGAACCAGCUCAAUCUUGUCUGACUCAGAAGACAAGCAGGGUAGAGCCUGGCUAGUACUUGGAUGGAGAAGCUGCUGGUU
rnacentral:rRNA from 1 species